UGUAUCUGCUACAGGACAUCUGCAUUCUGGAAAGAAACCAAUGUGGGAGAGAAAAUGAAAGGACGACAACUUGUAAAAUGCUAGGCUGAUGAAUAACUCUCAGUAGGGCUCUGGAGUACCUUAGGUCCUAAAUUGGAGCCAGAAACUGUGGGUCAAAGGAGGAAACAACCACUGAAAAUAAACAAGGCAAGAGAUGGAAGUUUACCAGGCUGCUGCACAAAAUUCACUCUCCAGCCCUACUUUGGAGCAAUGAGGAACCCCAGCGUCUUGAUCUGUCGUUUUGGAGCUGCUUCAUGUGGAAGAUGGAUAGGACCAGUUUCAGCAAACCUAGUAUCUGUCCAUUGACAAGAGAUGAUGGAGUUCAAGCAGGUUUGAUGGGGCUUGUCCAAAGAAAUGCAGUCCCAGAGCAGUCUUUUUAG
rnacentral:lncRNA from 1 species